GCGCGAAAACUUUACAAUGCUGGCAACAGCGAUAAGGGAACCUCGAGUGCCAGGUUACAAAUCUGGCUGUCGAGAUGCCUAAAAAGCAUUUCAUAGCAAGGGCCGGGCAAGACCGGUGCCAGCCGCCGCGGUAACACCGGCGGCUCGAGUGGUAACCGUUAUUAUUGGGUCUAAAGGGUCUGUAGCCGGCCGGAUAAGUCUCUUGAGAAAUCUGGCAGCUUAACUGUCAGGCUUUCAGGAGAUACUGUCUGGCUCGAGGCCGGGAGGAGUGAGAGGUACUUCAGGGGUGAGGGUGAAAUCUUGUAAUCAUUGAGAGACCAACAGUCGCGAAGGCGUCUAUCCAGGACGGACAUGACGGCAAG
rnacentral:rRNA from 1 species